rnacentral:rRNA from 1 species
UACAGAGGGUGCAAGCGUUAAUCGGAAUUACUGGGCGUAAAGCGUGCGCAGACGGUUGCGUAAGUCAGAUGUGAAAGCCCCGGACUCAACCUGGGAAUUGCAUUUGGGACUGCAAGGCUGGAGUACGGCAGAGGAGACUGGAAUUCCUGGUGUAGCAGUGAAAUGCGUAGAGAUCAGGAGGAAUACCGAUGGCGAAGGCAGGUCUCUGGGCUGAUACUGACGCUCAUGCACGAAAGCGUGGGGAGCAAACAGG